UCAAGCGAAUAAGCGCAUACGGUGGAUGCCUUGGCGGCAACAGGCGAUGAAGGACGUAGUAGCCUGCGAUAAGCCUCGGGGAGCUGGCAAACAAGCUUUGAUCCGAGGAUCUCCGAAUGGGGAAACCCGACCGCAAGGUCAUCCUGCACUGAAUCCAUAGGUGCAGGAAGCGAACCCGGGGAACUGAAACAUCUAAGUACCCGGAGGAAAAGAAAUCAACCGAGAUUCCGUUAGUAGUGGCGAGCGAACGCGGAGUAGCCCUUAAGUCUUGAGCGUUUUAGUGGAACGGUCUGGAAAGGCCGGCGAUACAGGGUGAUAGCCCCGUACACGAAAAGGCGCUCAGGAUGAAAUCGAGUAGGACGGGACACGUGAAAUCCUGUCUGAAGAUGGGGGGACCAUCCUCCAAGGCUAAAUACUCGUUGCCGACCGAUAGUGAACCAGUACCGUGAGGGAAAGGCGAAAAGAACCCCGGAGAGGGGAGUGAAAUAGAACCUGAAACCGUAUGCGUACAAGCAGUCAGAGCCCCGCAAGGGGUGAUGGCGUACCUUUUGUAUAAUGGGUCAGCGAGUUACUUUCAGUGGCGAGGCUAACCGUCUAGGGGAGCCGUAGGGAAACCGAGUCUUAACAGGGCGACCAGUCGCUGGGAGUAGACCCGAAACCGCUCGAUCUAUCCAUGGCCAGGUUGAAAGCGGGGUAAUACCCGCUGGAGGACCGAACCAACCACUGUUGCAAAAGUGGUGGAUGAGCUGUGGAUCGGAGUGAAAGGCUAAUCAAGAGCGGAGAUAGCUGGUUCUCCCCGAAAGCUAUUUAGGUAGCGCCUCGUGACUUUCACCCUCGGGGGUAGAGCACUGUUACGGCUAGGGGUCCGUCUAGGGCUACCAAACCGUUGCAAACUCCGAAUACCGAGGAGUGCGAUCACGGGAGACACACGGCGGGUGCUAACAUCCGUCGUGAAGAGGGAUACAACCCAGAUCGCCAGCUAAGGUCCCAAAAUCACGGCUCAGUGGUGAACGAUGUGGGCGGGCCCAGACAGCCAGGAUGUUGGCUUAGAAGCAGCCAUCAUUUAAAGAAAGCGUAAUAGCUCACUGGUCGAGUCUACCCGCGCGGAAGAUUCAACGGGGCUCAAGCCGUGUACCGAAGCUGCGGAUGUGUGAGGUCUUCGGAUCUCAUACGUGGUAGGGGAGCGUUCCGUACGCCUGCGAAGGCGGAUCGUAAGGUCCGCUGGAGGUAUCGGAAGUGCGAAUGCUGACAUGAGUAGCGUUAAAACGGGUGAAAAACCCGUUCGCCGUAAGCCCAAGGUUUCCUGCGCAACGUUAAUCGGCGCAGGGUGAGUCGGCCCCUAAGGCGAGGUCGAAAGACGUAGUCGAUGGGAAGCAGGUUAAUAUUCCUGCACCGGCCGUGACUGCGAUGGGGGGACGGAGAAGGCUAGGUCAGCCGGGUGUUGGUUGUCCCGGUUUAAGCGUGUAGACGUGCUGCAUAGGCAAAUCCGUGCGGCUUAGUCGAGACGUGACGACGAGGUCUUCCUUCGGGAAGACCGAAGUGAUCGAUGCCAUGCUUCCAGGAAAAGCCUCUAAGCUUCAGGUCACGGGCGACCGUACCCUAAACCGACACUGGUGGGCGAGGUGAAAAUCCUAAGGCGCUUGAGAGAACUCGGGUUAAGGAACUCGGCAAAUUGACACCGUAACUUCGGAAGAAGGUGUGCCUCUGUUAGGUGAAGGACCUCGCGUCUGGAGCCGAGAGAGGUCGCAGAGAAUCGGUAGCUGCGACUGUUUAUCAAAAACACAGCACUCUGCAAACGCGAAAGCGGAAGUAUAGGGUGUGACGCCUGCCCGGUGCCGGAAGGUUAAUUGAUGGGGUCAGCCGCAAGGCGAAGCUCCUGAUCGAAGCCCCGGUGAACGGCGGCCGUAACUAUAACGGUCCUAAGGUAGCGAAAUUCCUUGUCGGGUAAGUUCCGACCUGCACGAAUGGCGUAACGAUGGCUACACUGUCUCGACCCGAGACUCAGCGAAGUUGAAAUCGCUGUGAAGAUGCAGCGUUCCCGCCGCAAGACGGAAAGACCCCGUGAACCUUUACUACACCUUCACACUGAACUUUGAAAUUGCCUGUGUAGGAUAGGUGGGAGGCUUUGAAGCGCCGGCGCCAGCCGGCGUGGAGCCAACCUUGAAAUACCACCCUGGCAGUUUCGAGGUUCUAACCUUGACCCGUUAUCCGGGCCGGGGACAGUGUGUGGCGGGUAGUUUGACUGGGGCGGUCUCCUCCCAAAGAGUAACGGAGGAGCGCGAAGGUACCCUCAGCACGGUCGGAAAUCGUGCGUCGAGUGUAAUGGCAUAAGGGUGCUUGACUGCGAGACAUACAAGUCGAGCAGGGUCGAAAGACGGUCAUAGUGAUCCGGUGGUUCUGUAUGGAAGGGCCAUCGCUCAACGGAUAAAAGGUACUCCGGGGAUAACAGGCUGAUACCGCCCAAGAGUUCAUAUCGACGGCGGUGUUUGGCACAUCGAUGUCGGCUCAUCACAUCCUGGGGCUGUAGCCGGUCCCAAGGGUAUGGCUGUUCGCCAUUUAAAGUGGUACGCGAGCUGGGUUCAGAACGUCGUGAGACAGUUCGGUCCCUAUCUGCGGUGGGCGUUGGAGAUUUGAGAGGAUCUGUCCUUAGUACGAGAGGACCGGGAUGGACGAACCUCUGGUGUGCCGGUUGUCAUGCCAAUGGCAUUGCCGGGUAGCCAAGUUCGGUCGGGAUAACCGCUGAAAGCAUCUAAGCGGGAAACCCACCUCAAGAUGAGAUCUCCCUGGGAGCUCGACUCCCCUGAAGGGCCGUGGAAGACCACCACGUUGAUAGGCGGGAUGUGGAAGCGCUGUGAGGCGUGAAGCUAACCCGUACUAAUUGCCCGUGAGGCUUGACCAU
rnacentral:rRNA from 1 species